rnacentral:rRNA from 1 species
ACUCCUACGGGAGGCAGCAGUGGGGAAUAUUGCACAAUGGGCGCAAGCCUGAUGCAGCCAUGCCGCGUGUGUGAAGAAGGCCUCGGUUGUAAAGCACUUUCAGUCGUGAGGAAGGUAGUGUAGUUAAUAGCUGCAUUAUUUGUACGUUAGCGACAGAAGAAGCACCGGCUAACUCCGUGCCAGCAGCCGCGGUAAUACGGAGGGUGCGAGCGUUAAUCGGAAUUACUGGGCGUAAAGCGCAUGCAGGUGGUUUGUUAAGUCAGAUGUGAAAGCCCGGGGCUCAACCUCGGAAUAGCAUUUGAAACUGGCAGACUAGAGUACUGUAGAGGGGGUAGAAUUUCAGGUGUAGCGGUGAAAUGCGUAGAGAUCUGAAGGAAUACCGGUGGCGAAGGCGGCCCCCUGGACAGAUACUGACACUCAGAUGCGAAAGCGUGGGGAGCAAACAGGAUUAGAUACCCUGGUAGCUCGAUG